UUUUUGCUGUGAUAGACUUACUUACUGUGAUGCAUCUUACCAUAAUCAGCAGAGUGUUGUAAACUGUUUAGGUGUUUCUGUUGAUAAAGCUUAUGAGGAUUCAUUACUAGAAGUGUUCUGUGCUGCACUGUCUUCCAGUUCAGAUAGCUUUUAUCCAGGACGUGGGUCAGAUGUCACUGAGGAAAUUCCCUGGCAGGUUAAGACUGGAGGCUCUGACAGACAAAGAGCCGGGCCAGCUGGAGAUAGAUAGUGGGGAGGAAGGGAGGAAAAAGAGGAAGGUUGUGUUGAGGACAGUCUGCCUGCCAGUCAGCCCCAACCUACUACAAGCCAGGUCCUUUUGGAGGCGGAGGACCUGAUCAUAGAGGAAUAUACCAGCGAAUAACACGUGGCUCUGUCAUACCGUGACGCUGUUUCAUUGUCAGGUUUUUUUAUUGUAUGAGUUUUGGGUUAGUAUGGAGGAAGAUUAGUGUCACACGAACCAACACAAUGAGAUUAGAGACUCUUUUUUGACAUGUAAGAAAAAGAAAAAGAAAAAACUGUUAAAAAGAUGAUACUUUCUGAAAUUCUGACUUUAAUCUUGAACUCCAAUGAUCCUCCACGUGGUGCUAACCAAAGGUGGGUUAAUGUGUUGCUGACUGUGUGAUGCUUCAGGUAUUACCAGUAUUGUUGCUCAUCUUGUGUUGUCUGUACAAGAUAUGAUCAUUUCUCAAGCAAGCUUGUUGCCUCGUGGAACCUGAACAGAGUUUGAUUCUGUAGCUCGACAGGCCCAGAGUACCAGGAGCAUGUGGAUUCGUUGUGGGGAAAUUGUCAGUAUUUAUUAGUUGAAAGUGCAUGUUCAGCACUUGUUUUUGCACUUGGCAUCUUUUUGGUUUUGCUGAGUGACUGCUGAGCCUGGAUGAACCUGUCAUGGAGGACUUUGCAGGAACAAGCCAGGCCUGUCGCUAUCUUUUUUACAGUUUCCCAUGGCUGGAAAAUAAGAAAUAUUAUGAGAAUGUAUGUAUGUGAAUAAAAUAGUGUGUGAAAAGUUCA